CCCCAGCAGCCGGACCCUGUGCUGGGGUCCUAGGGCUGGCAUGGGGUCAUUCCCCACACAGAAUGGUGGCUUCGCAGUUGCUCUCAGAAGACAUGUGAGGCAGAUGGACUAAUCCCUUUGUGGGAAGCUCUGGAAGGAGUGAGCUUGCCGAGAAGAUACAGACUCAGGGCUGCAGCGUAGGUGAGAAUGGCCUGAAGCAAACUGCAUGACUUCAGUUUGCAUUUCUAUC